AUACAAAACCAAUGCCCUUCGGGGCUCUCUUGGUGAUUCAUGAUAACUUCUCGAAUCGCACGGCCCCGCGCCGGCGAUGGUUCAUUCAAAUUUCUUCCCUAUCAACUUUCGAUGCUACGGUAUUGUCCUAGCAUGGUUGCAACGGGUGACGGAGGGUUAGGGCUCGACCCCGGAGAAGGAGCCUGAGAAACGGCUACUACAUCCAAGGAAGGCAGCAGGCGCGCAAAUUACCCAAUCCCGACACGGGGGGGUAGUGACAAUAAAUACUGAUACAGGGCUCUUUUGGGUCUUGUAAUUGGAAUGAGUACAAUUUAAACCUCUUAACGAGGAACAAUUGGAGGGCAAGUCUGGUGCCAGCAGCCGCGGUAAUUCCAGCUCCAAUAGCGUAUAUUAGAGUUGUUGCCGUUAAAAAGCUCGUAGUUGAACCUUGGACCUGGCUGAUCUGUCCUCCUAAUCGAGCGUACGGAUUCGGUCGGGUCUUUCCUUCUGGGGGAACCCUAUGUCCUUCAUUGGGUGUAGUG
rnacentral:rRNA from 1 species